ensembl:lncRNA
UGACCAGAGAGGGAUACGGCUACGGCGGCUAUCCUGAGGGUAUGCCCAUUAAUGGCAUGCCCAUGGAGGGUGAGGUGAUUGAUGACUAUCCCCCCAGCAUGCCCUACCAGUACAACGAGCCCUACUAACAGAUGUGUGAAGAUGAACGGAGAGAUGAGAAGAGCAUGGAGAGAGGGAUCUGCUGAACGAGGGAGGAAGCGUGAGGACGGAGUGGAAGAAAUGCGCCAUUCCUCGUCUUCACCGCUGUAACACGACUCUGAUG